rnacentral:rRNA from 1 species
AUUGAACGCUGGCGGCAUGCUUUACACAUGCAAGUCGAACGGUAACAGGCCGCAAGGUGCUGACGAGUGGCGAACGGGUGAGUAAUGCAUAGGACCGUGCCCAGUCGGGGGGGAUAACGCAGCGAAAGCUGCGCUAAUACCGCAUACGAUCUAUGGUUGAAAGCGGGGGACCGUAAGGACUCGCUCGACUGGAGCCGCCGAUGUCUGAUUAGGUAGUUGGUGGGGUAAAGGCUCACCAAGCCGACGAUCUGAAGGUGGUCGGAGAGUACCACCAGCCACACUGGGACUGAGACACGGCCCAGACUCCUACGGGAGGCAGCAGUGGGGAAUUUUGGACAAUGGGCGCAAGCCUGAUCCAGCAAUGCCGCGUGCAGGAAGAAGGCCUUCGGGUUGUAAACUGCUUUUGUACGGAACGAAAAGGCUCUGGUUAAUACCUGGGGCUCAUGACGGUACCGUAAGAAUAAGCACCGGCUAACUACGUGCCAGCCGCCGCGGUAA